rnacentral:rRNA from 1 species
UAACGAAUAUUGGGCAAUGGGCGAAAGCCUGACCCAGCAAUGCCGCGUGCAGGACGAAGUCCUUCGGGAUGUAAACUGCUGUCAGGGGUCCGCAAGCGAAGGGGUCCAACAGGCCCUGGAGUUGAGCAGCCCCAGAGGAAGCCUCGACUAACUCUGUGCCAGCAGUCGCGGUAAGACAGGGGAGGCAAGCGUUGUGCGGAAUCACUGGGCUUAAAGCGCGUGUAGGCGGCUUAGAAAGUGUCGUGUGAAAUCCCGCGGCUCAACCGCGGAACUGCACGGGAAACUACUUGGCUUGAGUUCGGUAGAGGUGGCUGGAACUCUAGGUGGAGCGGUGAAAUGCGUAGAUAUCUAGAGGAACGCCAGAAGCGAAAGCGGGGCACUGGGCCGAUUCUGACGCUGAGACGCGAAAGCGUGGGGAGCAAACA